rnacentral:rRNA from 1 species
UACGGGGGGAGCAAGCGUUGUCCGGAUUUACUGGGCGUAAAGCGCGCGUAGGCGGCCCGGUAAGUCCGUUGUGAAAGUCAAAGGCUCAACCUUUGAACGCCGAUGGAUACUGCCGGGCUAGAGUCCGGAAGAGGCGAGUGGAAUUCCUGGUGUAGCGGUGGAAUGCGCAGAUAUCAGGAGGAACACCAAUAGCGAAGGCAGCUCGCUGGGACGGUACUGACGCUGAGGCGCGAAAGCGUGGGGAGCGAACAGG